UACAAAUAGUUGAUAGAGAUAAGUAGUUUAUUUGUUCGUCAUAGAGAGUUAAUGGUCGGUGCAAAUUAAUCGUAACAAUAAAUGAAAUCUACUCUGGAUAGGUGCUAAUCCCACCCGCUUAGAAAGCGUUAAAAUGAGAAGAGCCAGUAACCUACGUUAUUGGAAUUAAGGUGGUACCACGGAAAUACAUUCGUCCUUAGG
rfam:complete chromosome Acholeplasma brassicae.